rnacentral:lncRNA from 1 species
AUGGGCGUCCAGGGCUUCCAAGAGUUCCUGGAGAAGCGCUGUCCCGGGGCUGUGGUGCCUGUGGACCUCCUCAAACUCGCGCGCACCGUCUCGCGCCAGCAGCAGCAGCAGCACCUGCACCGCCAGCUGCCGCCAGCAGCCCUAGCGCCAGGGGCUCCACGCAUCGCCAGGGGCUCUGCUCCUCUGCCGCCGCCGCUCCCGCCUGCUGCCUUUGGUGCUUACUCCGGGGGCGCGGGGCCGACUCGGCACCAUCACCCUGCUCACCAUUUCCACCACCAUGGCCAAGCGCCGCCAGGGCUGCAUCCGCCGCCGCCCCCUCCGCUGCCUGGGGCUCGGGUAUUGGUAGACGCGGGCUCCGCGCUGCCGCGGCUCUAUGGUGGCUACCAGACGGAUUGGGUUUGUGGCGGCCAGUGGAAUGCCAUGCUGGGCUACUUGUCAGCGCUGUGCCAGGCUUGUGCCUAUCCGGGCGGAGACGGCCUGGAGCUGGUGGUCAUGUUCCCUGGGGGCCUGGGGAAGGACCGACUGGCGG